rnacentral:misc_RNA from 1 species
UUGCCGUUGAUAUCUACGGCUCGUCUGAAAUGCUUCAGUGUACCCCGCAAAGCGGCGUAUUCGGUGUGAUACAUCUUCACCGGAGUUGAUCCUUUAUUGGGUCGCGUCUGUAAUGUGUGGCUCUAUGCUUCAAACCGUCUUGAUAGGACAAUAUUUGACAAUUCGACCUCAAAUCGGGUGGGACUACCCGCUGAACUUAA